GCCAAAGCUCAGUGGUAGAACAUAUGUACUGCAUGCAGAAGGUCCCAGGUUCAAUCCCUGGUAUCUCCA